GUGCUUUUUUCAGCAGUAUAUAUACUGAAAUCAGAAUGAUACAGAGAAGAUUAGCAUAGUCUCUGUGCAAGGAUGACACACAAAUUUCAUGUUUUAAAAAAGAAAGUA
ensembl:snRNA U6 U6 spliceosomal RNA